ACCGAGAUUACAGGCAUGUGAUACUACCAGAACUUUCUUAUCAGUGUAUUUUGUAUGUAUGUGUUACUAUGUUUGUAGACAUAUGGGUGCAUAUGGCAUGGCCAGAGGCCUACGUUCAGUACCAUUCAUUCCUCAGGAACCAAACACCUUGGUUUUUGAGACAGCCUCUCACUGGUACUGGGGGCUCACUGAUGAGGCUGGCUGACCAUUGAACCCAAAGGUCCUCCUGUCUGUUUCCCCAUUGCUAAGAUCACAGAUGCACACCCCAACACUUGUGCUUUAAUGGACACGGGGAAAGCACUCAGGUCCUGAUGCUCACACAGCUCGCACAGCGUGCACAUUACUGAUUCAGCUUCCCAAUCUCUCAGUCUAUUUUUAAAGGGAAAAACUCACACUUGCAUACCGUCCUGUUUCAAAACCAUGUUAUUAUAGAUUUAUGUUUAUACUUUAAUAUUGGUAAAUGUGUUAAUUAUUGGCUGUCAAAAUCACACUUUUUAGGGUAUUCAGUUGAUGGCCAGGAUGGCUUUUUUCACAAGCUCUCUCCAUGUGUGAGCAAUUGGAGAAUGUUCAAUAAACUAAUUUCUAAAAAUUUUCUUUCACCUAAAGCAACAGGUUUACAAAUAGGAAUUUUCCAAAGAGAAUUUGAAUAAUCAUGUGUCUCCACGAUCAAUAGUGAUUCAUUUUUAAAAAUCCCAUUUCCCAGGAGAGUCCUCCAAAUUACAACACUCCUGAUGUCUCUGUUUUCCUUUGGGGUCUAGUCUAGCAGCAUUCCAAGUUUUGACAACUAAAAUUUUCCACUAAAAUACCUUCAGUAGACAUGUCAUAAUUCCGAUUGUAUUCUGCAAAUACUUAGAUAAAUUUAUUCUGAGAAAAAAAAGAUGAGACGGUUGGAUAAUAAUAAAAAAUUAUCUCAUUUCAGAUCACUUCCAGUUGUGCAUGGUGACAUACUCCUGUACUCCCAGCUCUUGGAAUGUGGAUGCAGGACUAUGAAGAACUUGGUGUCAUGAUGAGCUACACAGUCAGUUAAGAGCCAGUCUGGGAUAUAUGAAAUCCUAUUUCAACAAGACAGAAUGAACCAUAAAUCACUUCUGAAUAAUAGGCUUCUUACAACCUAUACUCAGGGCUGACCCAUCCUACCACCAGCCUUUGGUGUGCACCUACUAAGUGUGAUCCUUGGUAGGCACCUACUACGUGUGAUCCCUUGAGGAGAUGUUUCAUUAGGGUUAGGCUAUACAUGCCAAGAAGGUGUCCAUAACUAACUGUGCUCUAAGAUUAGAUUCUUUUCCAAGUUUGUUGUUGUGUUUCGUGUGUGUGUUUGUGUGUGUGUGUGUGUGUGUGUGUGUGUGUUCACAUGUAUACAAGCACAUGUGUAUGAAUGGAUUUAGAGAUUAGCAGGUAACUUCAGCUGUUGUUCCUUAGGUCUAACCUACUUUGUUUGUUUGUUUGUUUGGUUGGUUGGUUGGUUGGUUGGUUGGUUGUUUGGUUGGUUUUUGAAACAGGGUCUCUUGUUGACCUGGGAAUUGUUAAGUAGGUUAUGCAGUUUGCAGGUACAGAACACCACAUCCAGCUUUUUAAAUUUUUAUUUAUUGUUUAUUUUAUCUAUUUUGUACUACAUUCUGGGGGAUCAAACUCAGGUCCUCAGUCUUGCAAGACGAACACUUUACUGUCCAAACCACCCCUUCCCCCACCCUUGACUGUGUCUCCUUACUUAAUCUUAGUCAAAAAUCGAGGUUUGUUGUGCUUCUUUAAAAAACAAAAAAACAAACAAAAAAACACCUUGCAAACCAAAUCUGUGAAAACACAGAAACUCCGUGGUUUGUUGUUUGUUUGUUUGCUUUCCAAAUAGAUGGCACAAUGAAAUAGUUAUGAUUAGAUGUAAUCACAUUCUCAGGCACGGAGGCUCUGUCCGCAGAGUGUGGCAUGUUUUGGGACGUGCCACACUGUGAAUGGAUGUAGUUACUCCACACUAGAGGAGAUUAGCUACUACAAGAGAACAACAUAAAUAGCCUUGAGUAGACAUGGGGUGAAAUUCUAAGGUGGAAACAGCCACUGCCAACAUGGGACACUACAGGACAUUUUCACAGAAAGUAAUUUCAAUUUAUACUGAGGAGUGGGCAGGGUUUAGAUACUUAGAGCGUAUGCUCCAUUCUAGAAGAGAGUGGACAGAGAUGAAGGUCUUCCUGUGCUCAUUUCUCAAUUGUAGAACACAAGUCAGGCCAACUCUGUGCCUUCGGUCUAGUAUGGGAAAAUAGCCCAGGGAGAGAGAGGGUGCAGCAUUCAACACUGUGGGCUGGAAAGCAGGGGCUGUGGUUCUGUGAUUGUGCGGAGCUGUCUAUAGCAUUCUGCAAGUCACCUCUCUUCUCUUAUCCAGACAGUGAAGGAAAUCGCUAACUGGGACACAGAAAAUGUACCUUCUGGUUCAAACAUUAUUCAAUGAUACUAGGAGAGGCUUGGGACCAGUCUUUGAAAAUGGGAAAUCAUACUGACUUUUCGGCGAAUGGGUCUCAAAACCAUGACGUGUACUUGAGAUUACUGCCAGAGGGCCAGAAGGUCUCGGCUGCCAUCUGGACUUUGUUCUUCCCCAUCCUCUGCCUCAGGUCAUGAAUCCUAUCCUCACAUUCCCUGGGACUGGUCCCACCUCUUGUCCCUGUGCAGUUAUUCCCCUGCACUUAGAGGGAGGGAAGUAUAAAAGCCAGGAAGCAGAGGAGAAAAGGAAAAAAAGAAGAUGAAAGACCAUGAUAUUAAGAGGGAGAAGGACUCUCAGCACACAAAUAUCUCAGAUCCAAGGCUCCCACCGGGAGCUGGGAGGCCAAGGAAUGUCUCUUCUUCUUUCUAUCCACCCACCUGUCUCCUCUUUCAAAUUACAUCCCGCCACUUCUAAGAGCCAUCUUCAUUCAAAAGGAUGAAAAGACUUUGGUCUUCUAAGAGUUCUUUCAUGGGCCUCUUCUUCUGCUUCGGUCUGUCUGUAGUUGUGGGAGAAGGUGAUCUGGAAGAAGGGUCACAAGGUUUCUACAGUGCUGCCCAGUGAAGAGGCAGGCAGCUGCAGGCGCGCGGGGGGUGGGGGGUGGGGGAGUGUUGAUAGGAAGCUUUGUCGAAGAACAUUCCUUUUGCCUGCAAAGUUCUGAGCAGAGAAAUGAGGGAGAACUAGAUGCCAGGUGAAGGAGAUUCGUUUUGGGAAAGAAAACGUUUGUGAUGUUCAUUUGGCAAAAAUGAUUCCAAGGAAGGCCGGCAUGCUUUUCUUCAGCGACUUACUGGAUGGUCCCGUGAGUUUGGGUGGUCCACAGCGGGACACUUGAGCACUUCUCUGCUUAAGUGUAAGUGUACUCACCCCUGCUCUGGUGGGUACUAUCAUUGGACAGUCCUGCAAUCACCCUCUUUAUCUAUCUUCAAAAAGAUUAGCUCCUUGUUGUUCCAUGGCUAUUACUGAAUUAUCUCUUGUUCAGGUCUAGGUUGAAUUGUUGAAGCAUUUUUUUUACUAGUAGUUUUACUUGGAAAACCUAUUUUAAUUCUCACACUCUCUCAUCUCCCACGGUUAUCUAUGGCUUGGGACAAAACAGGUACCCGGGAAGAAAUCCUACAGCUCUCUCUCUCUCUCUCUCUCUCUCUCUCUCUCUCUCUCUCUCUCUUUCAGAACUGUGACACUAGACAGAAGAGUGGCCGAUGGAAUGAGAAAGGGUAUCACUGGAUCCGCAGAGAAUUCAGAGACUGUGGAGGCAGGAGACUGGAAAACGUCCAUGGAUGAAAGGGGAUUUUUAAUCGAGCACAAAAUGUGCCUUUGAAGAAACAGCAGACUCUCUUGACAUUACACAACUCAGCGAAACAAAAUGACAGCCAUCUUUAAAGUCAAAACAGCCAUCAAACUAUAAGCCACACACAUAGCACCGAGGUCAACCUUACACUGCAGGGGAUGCACAGGCCGAAAGAGAACAAAAUCAUCCAGGGCCCUGGCAACGACACUCCGUUCCAGCAACUCAGAAUUCUGAAGUGAACAUUUAUGUGGCAGAUGCUUUUCCUAAAAAAACACUGUAUCAUCCAAUAAAUAUUUGACUAAAACCCAUUUUGUGCUUUUGGGUGACGUUAACUGACUUCCUUCUGAGACCUAAUAAGAAACAAGAAAGUGCUGGAGCAGGAUUCGUCACAGCGAGCCUCAGUAUUGUCAUAAAAAUUUAAUUUUAAGCAGAAAACAUGCUGAUGUGUCAGUAAUAGGUUUAAAAUAUUAAAGACUUCAAAAAACCCCAAGCACUCCUCUGAACAGCAUUUGGUGAAUAUAUAUCUUUGCUAUAUAAUUUUAAAACAUGGAAUAGUUUUCCUUUUUUUCUCUUUUCUAUAUAUAAUAUAUGUCUUCCAAAAUACAUUGUCAGUAUUUAUAUCUGAAAAAUACUGUACAAAAAAGAACUUCCUAUAAUUACUCUGUAUAAACAUUAAACAAUUUAAUAAUCUCUCCUUUUGGUCUAUAGUAAACAUUUAAAUUGAUUGGAUAAACCACAGUUUGUGACAACACCAUCCCAUUCUGAGAUACACCAGUGUCUUUUACAUUCAUUUUUUUUUCAGAAGUCCACGUGAUAGGCGCACAUAUGUUCAAAAGCGAACAGAGGAUAAGAAACAUGGGUUCCAGAAUCAUUCAUUUGUGAGGCAUUCAAAAAGGACACCAAAGGGGGUCAAGGGGAGGGGCCUUACAAAAACAUCAACUUCUUAACUUAAUCAACUGAUUUCUAAAAACGGCAAAAUAUCGUCCCCAAAAAUAUAUAUUACAAAAAAAAAAGUAGAUGAACUGAAUCCUAAGUCAAUUGUUUUGAAUAUCAAGAGGGAAAUGGAAAAAGUGAACUACAAAAGUGGGAAUGGGCUGGGGUGGGAGAGGGAGACAGCAAAACGAAGCACACCCAUGACAAAGGCUUCUCCAAGAUGCAUUUUUUUUUUUUUUUGGCUUACAUACUGAUAAAUUAACCCCUCAUUCUUAGGCCUUCCCUUGCCCUCUGCUUCCCUGUCCUGAGAACAUUCUAGUCAUGCGCGAAUGCAUUACUUUAAGUUUUGAUUUUUAAAAGACAGUGAAAUUCCUAGGUAGGGAAAUUUUCCUACGUCCACUAGGUAAUACUCAGGCAGCAUGCUCUAGCGUACACUAGGAUUAUUGCUUUAGGUACAGACGGUGCAAAAACACACUCUGUGUUCUAAAAUGGUACAUACUUAUCUGGGGUUGGUAGAAUUAAAAGGAAACUUAGUAGGUAGCAGUAAGUAAAUAUGGGAUUCUACUAAAUCUAACCAGCACUUUAGAUCUGAAGACAGUUAUCACCAAAACCGAAAGGAGAAUGAGAACAGGUAGGAAGGAAAAAGGGAAGGGGCAGGGGGGCAACCUGCGAAGGAAUUCGGCUGCAGCAGCGUAGUGCUAGGGGAUGCUAUGCACCUUUUUAGCAUGGGAAUUCAUGGUUGAAACAGAAACAAGAGCUUAUGGUCUUGGUAACUGAGAUGCAGGGCCCUGCUUCCUGAGGCCACGCAGACCCUGGCAAAGUAAAAUCACUGGAAGGCAGAGCAAGGCAGAAAGGGGCGGGAGGGAAGAAGGGAAGGGAGGAAACCCCACGGGGGUCUCCGGGGUCUAAUAAAAACAUGGCACCUUUCUUGUUUGGAACUAAAAGACAACAAGAGGACUAUCUUUAAAUGACAAGUGUGAAGGAAUACACACAUACACACACUCACACAGGCACACCGCUGACCACACAUAGGACCAUAAGCACAUACGUACACACACGCACGCACACACACAAACACACACAGAUGCACACCAAAAUAUAAGUCAGUUGCGUUUAUGCCUCUGGUAAAGUGCUGAUGUCAGAAAGGUUGGUUCGGGUGUGGUGCUACCAGACAGGAAACAAGCUGUCCAUCUAUUCAAAAGCCAGCCC
rnacentral:sRNA from 1 species